rnacentral:rRNA from 1 species
CCUACGGGUGGCAGCAGUGAGGAAUAUUGGUCAAUGGGCGCGAGCCUGAACCAGCCAAGUAGCGUGAAGGAUGACGGCCCUACGGGGUGUAAACUGCGGUUAUAAAGGAAUAAAGUGAGGCACGUGUGCCUUUUUGUAUGUACUUUAUGAAUAAGGAUCGGCUAACUCCGUGCCAGCAGCCGCGGUAAUACGGAGGAUCCGAGCGUUAUCCGGAGUUAUUGGGUUUAAAGGGAGCGUAGAGGGGUUGUUAAGGCCGUUGUGAAAGUUUGCGGCUCCACCGUCAAAUUGACCUUGAUACUGGCAGCCUUGAUUACAGUUGAGGUCGGCGGCAUUCGUGUUGUAGCGGUUCAAUGCUUAGCUAUCAC